UACGUAGGGCGCGAGCGUUGUCCGGAAUUAUUGGGCGUAAAGAGCUCGUAGGUGGCUUGUCGCGUCUGCCGUGAAAGCCCGUGGCUUAACUACGGGUCUGCGGUGGAUACGGGCAGGCUAGAGGCUGGUAGGGGCAAGCGGAAUUCCUGGUGUAGCGGUGAAAUGCGCAGAUAUCAGGAGGAACACCGGUGGCGAAGGCGGCUUGCUGGGCCAGUUCUGACGCUGAGGAGCGAAAGCGUGGGGAGCGAAC
rnacentral:rRNA from 1 species